GAUGAACGCUGGCGGCGUGCUUAACACAUGCAAGUCGAACGGAAAGGCUCCUGCUUGCAGGGGUACUCGAGUGGCGAACGGGUGAGUAACACGUGGGUGAUCUGCCCUGCACUUCGGGAUAAGCCUGGGAAACUGGGUCUAAUACCGGAUAGGACGAUGGUUUGGAUGCCAUUGUGGAAAGUUUUUCGGUGUGGGAUGAGCUCGCGGCCUAUCAGCUUGUUGGUGGGGUAAUGGCCUACCAAGGCGUCGACGGGUAGCCGGCCUGAGAGGGUGUACGGCCACAUUGGGACUGAGAUACGGCCCAGACUCCUACGGGAGGCAGCAGUGGGGAAUAUUGCACAAUGGGCGCAAGCCUGAUGCAGCGGCGCCGCGUGGGGGAUGACGGCCUUCGGGUUGUAAACUCCUUUCGCUAGGGACGAAGCGCAAGUGACGGUACCUGGAGAAGAAGCACCGGCUAACUACGUG
rnacentral:rRNA from 1 species